rnacentral:lncRNA from 1 species
CAGUAGUGUUGGUCUCCAGACUGUCAGGUAGAUGAGUAUAACAGUAGUGUUGGUCUCCAGACUGUCAGGUAGAUGAUUAUAACAGUAGUGUUGGUCCUGGUCUCCAGACUGUCAGGUAGAUGAUUAUAACAGUAGUGUUGGUCUCCAGGCUGUCAGGUAGAUGAUUAUAACAGUAGUGUUGGUCUCCAGACUGUCAGGAUGAUGAUUAUAACAGUAGUGUUGGUCUCCAGACUGUCAGGAUGAUGAUUAUAACAGUAGUGUUGGUCCUGGUCUCCAGACUGUCAGGUAGAUGAUUAUAACAGUAGUGUUGGUCUCCAGACUGUCAGGUAGAUGAUUAUAACAGUAGUGUUGGUCCUGGUCUCCAGGCUGUCAGGUAGAUGAUUAUAACAGUAGUGUUGGUCCUG